AUGACAACGGAUCCUGUUGAUGUGCUUUUAUUUUCAGAGCUGGGUUUGGAUGCAUCCGUGGGCAUGACAAACCACACUCUCAAGCUGGAAGGUGAAACUGCUGAGGGCUCGGUGGCCAGUCAGUGUGAGUGUCAAGUCUUUGACCCCAUGAAGGCCCCAGGUGUCACGAAACACAAGAUUAUCAAGAGGAAACUGCAGUUCAUUCAGGGGCAACUUGCAUGCAGAUUUCCCGCCUUCAAGCUUAGGGCGCAGAGAUACCAAGUACCUCAGGAAAUAGGAGAAGAGAUUCCUCAUGUGAAUGAAAUCCUACCAUAGAACCCCAUCAUUUUCCACUUGAUGAAAAGAAAUCUAAAACAGUGCAGCAAGGAAAAGCCCCAACAGAGCACGGAAGGGAUCCUUUGCUGAGAAUCAACAUCACAACCACAAGCCACUCUGUGAUUUUGACUGCAAAACACGGUUUGACGAGAGAAAUUCUAGCCCUUCAGCCUCCACUCGUGAUAAAUCGCCAAGGAGACCAAUGCCUGACUGGAUCACGUGCAGGUUUGAGAGACCUUAAGUCUUGCUCCUCUCAAUUCCAUCCCGCGAUGAACCCGAGGACUCGGGAGCAACGUGGAAAAAGAGCACGUGUCAAACUGGACAUUCUGGGCCAACAGAUGGGCUGCGCUAGGAGCAGACAGCAUUAACUGUGCAGUGUUCCGGCCGCAAAGGGUUAGCCUGAAUUUGAGCACAAGGUAGGCAUCAGUCAACUUCAGGAUGUAGACCAUCGAACAAGACGCCUGUCUUUCUUCAAACAGUCAUUGUCACCACAAAUAAGAGACGACAAAAAGGAGAAGAGAUCUUUUGGGUUCCAAAGGACUAAAAAAGUGUGUCACUGUUUAGUCCUUUCAAGCCCAAGACAUCUCCUCACCUUUAGGUGGCUGUCUCUGGUGGUGGUGACAUUUCCUUGUUUGUAGGGGACAGGUCAGAUAUCCGUCUAAAUGGUCUACAUCCUGAAGUUGUCUGAUCCUGAUUAGGAUCAGGAAAUUAAAUUCCUCCUGAUUAAAUUCAGCCUAACCCUUUCGCCAGGGCACUCCAUAGUUAAGGCUCUGUGUGUCCCAGCUCAGCCCACCCGGAGACCGAGAGCGCCAGUUUGCCCGUCACCGUUCUUGCGAGAGCAGCAUGGGUCACGUGCUAUGGAGGGGCCCGUGAGAUCUGUUCACAGGAACACAUGGUUUUCUCUCUAAAACUAGUAAUGUGGUGAGUGGAGCUCUGAGAAUGUAUGAAGAUCCUUUUCUGCAAAGCCUUUCUCUGAAAUGUUGUCAUCCUGUGAUGAUCCCUGUGGUGUGUCAUCACCGCAUCCGUGUGUGUACAUUGGAAGGAUUCUAACUUUAUCAUUCCUGUACAACGUGUAUUGGCUGGCAUUGUGCCGUGGAACACACUCCCUCCCCGCUCUACAUCAUUAGAGUUUUUGUUUUGGCGAUCACUGUGGCCUUGUGAAUUUUUGUAUUCGAUGCUCUAAUCCCUCACUCUCCUGGUUGAUUUGGUGGAUAUGGAUAUAAAGUGAUGUAAAUAUUCUGGGAUUUCAUCAUAUUUAAUGCAAAGUCUCCAUCUCUUGUAGGCUAUACUUACUCGAUGGGGAAAAAAUUCUGACCAUGUUCCUCUCUCUGUGGUAUUUUCUGUUUUCUGUGAGUGCACAUAUGUCGGCCUACAUGUGCCUUUGGUGUUUAGGAAGCUUGUCAUAGGCAGGGCCGAACAUUGCACCAACCGUUCUUGGACACGUUGGGUUCCGUAUUAAUUUGUCAUCCUUUUCACAUCCAGUCUCUAAGUUUUAAGUGAUCUCUCAACCUCAAAGUUUUGACAUUACUCUGUUUUCUCUUUUCUCUUGUCUUAACCUGCACUCUUAUUGUAUUGUUUCCACCCAGUAAACAGAUGCCAUUUACAUCCUAUUUUUCUCACCUGCUCCAUUUCCAGAUUUUUGUUUUAGAUCCGCACUUAAGUUUCUUUAAUGGUCACCAUCUGUUCGAAAGUCAAAAUGUCCCCAGUCCUCUCUCCUUGGGUGAAAUCUUUAAAUGACUCCUAGUGAUGGAAUGGGGACUCCCUGAGUGUUGCUGGAAUUAAAAUUUUUUAAAAUUGAAGAACAAUUUUAAAAAGAUGAAACAUUGCUUUGUAGAUUUCAUUGACUUGACUUCAUGUCAUUGGCCUGUGGUUGUCUUCCUCUACCCAAACAUGGGCAGUUCAAGGUCAUGGGUCAGUGGUGCUUGAUGUCCACGGUGGAUGUGUCCGUGCUGUUGAGUGACAUAGAAGCUGAGGUUGAGAAGGCAGGGGAUGCUUCUCCCUCUGCCUGUGUCUCUGCCUCUCUCUCUCUCUCUCUCUCUCUGUGACUAUCAUAAAUAAAUUAAAAAAUUAAAAAAAAAAUUAAAAAAAA
rnacentral:lncRNA from 12 species